CUAGCAACCGGAAUGCGUGCCGGAGACGCCGGUCCAAUCGCUAACGAGCUCGCAAAGACUGUGGGCGGGGUUUUCUCUUCGGCGGAGCCAAUCGCGAGUCCGCCCGCGGGACAAGGCCCACGCGCCGCACGUGAGGCUUCCGCACCCGGGGGGAGCGCUCCCGAGGCCUGCAACCGAGGAGGUGCUCAGUAAGCGUCUGUUGAGGGCACGGAAUAAAGGCGUGGUCACCUUCAUUUAUCCCAGCACCCCCAGGCGAUGGGGAGGAGUCUUGUGCCCAUUUUUAAUAAACGAGGAAAUCAAGCAUAGAACGAUUAAGUGAUUUGCCAAAAAUCAUCAGGCUAACUAGUGGCGUGGCCCUUGAGAUGGACUGUUCCAUUUGGAAGUCAAGGUUGUUGCCACCUAAGUGGAUUCCUGCUGCGAGGAAGUUCCUCAUCCUUUCAUUUGCAGGAACCAAGGGCUCCAGAAAUUGUAAAAGUUUCCCUUUAAGUUAGCAUGGGAACGUAGAACAAUACCACUGUGUGGAACCCCUCUCCAGAUCUGUGGGCCAAUGAAAUGUCCUUAUGUAAGUGAAGGAUCAACUUCAGUGCCCAGCAUGGAGAAGUGCCUAAUGUUUCUCUUCCCUCUUCUUCAAUUAUCUAAUUUUAUUUAUUUAUUCAUGAGAGACACAGAGAGAGAGAGAAG